rnacentral:pre_miRNA from 1 species
UACAAUAUUUUGACUCUUUGUCUUAUUUAAAAAUUUUUUACGAUUAAUUUUUUUAUUCUUAAUAGAUGAUAAAAUAUAAAUAGUAUUUUGUACGUGACUAAUUUUUUAAAACUUUUAUACAAAAUUUUCAAAUAAAACGAAUAGUCAAAUAUUGAAUACGAAAAAACA